GACGAACGCUGGCGGCGUGCUUAACACAUGCAAGUCGAACGGAAAGGCCCUGCUUUUGUGGGGUGCUCGAGUGGCGAAAGGGUGUGUAACACGUGAGUAACCUGCCCUUGACUUUGGGAUAACUUCAGGAAACUGGGGCUAAUACCGGAUAGGAGCUCCUGCUGCAUGGUGGGGGCUGGAAAGUUUCGGCGGUUGGGGAUGGACUCGCGGCUUAUCAGCUUGUUGGUGGGGUAGUGGCUUACCAAGGCUUUGAAGGGUAGCCGGCCUGAGAGGGUGACCGGCCACAUUGGGACUGAGGUACGGCCCAGACUCGUACGGGAGGCAGCAGUGGGGAGUAUUGCACAGUGGGCGGAAGCCUGAUGCGGCAACGCCGCGUGCGGGAUGACGGCCUUCGGGCUGUAAACCGCUUUCGCCUGUGACGAAGCGUGAGUGACGGUAAUGGGUAAAGAAGCACCGGCUAACUACGUG
rnacentral:rRNA from 1 species